rnacentral:lncRNA from 1 species
ACCCCAUGACUUCCAGAGACAGAGGAAAGGCUGAAGGUUGAGUUGAUUACCAGUAGCUCACGAUAUAAUCAUUCAUGCCUACAUAACACAGCUUUCAUAAGAACCCAAUAGGACAGGGUUCAAGGACCCUCUAAAGAAUGCCACACCUAUAGAGGCAUGGAAACUCUUUGCCACUUUCAUCUGACUAUUGAUCUAUAUCCUUUGUAAUGCCUCUUAUAAGAAAUGGGCAGAUUCUAGCAGUGUUUGUGAGAAAAACUGAUGGAUCCUGCAGAUUAACUAUGGACAGCCAAAUAUUGAGUAAAGUGAUGUCUACAACAGCAUCAGCUAUGCCUGAUAUGGUGUUAAUUCACAUUGUGAAGUCCUCAAUAGGAAAAAGAUGCCUCCCUGGUCGACCUUCCUGGAAAGUAUGCAUAUCAUUACUGCUUAGAUUUUGUUGGAGAGAAAUCACACUACCAUCAAAGACAACGGGUCAAAAAGAAUGCCGUCCUAAGCUGAGAAGCCAUCUUCCUAACGACAGCCAUGUAAUAUGAAAGGGAAAAACACACUGUUAUUGAAGAACUUAUCAGCUAUGUCACAUCUUCCACACAAAUACUCAGGAAAGUUAAAAGAAAAUUUUACCUCGGACACAGUUGAUGAUUGCUAAAGUCCUAUUGCAUGCUUUAAGAUGCCUUGCGUUUGGUGAAUUGAAGCCUGAUAUGUCAACAUACUCUCUGUAAACACAGCAGCACAGAGGGCAAAGAAACACUUAUCCAGCACCACAGCUAGGACAAAAGGAAUUAUUUUGACAGUAAAUGGACUUGCAGCUUAAGGUUGGUAUGUACCCAAUUGUGACUAAACCAAAAGAAACAAAUCUGGAAACUGAAGUAUCAAUACGUGAAAAGCGUUCUUUUGGUAUUGGGAGUGCCAGUUGUCUUUGUUUCAUGAACUACUUCUCCGUAAUAGCAUGCAGCCAUCUUCAAGAGGUAAAACAGCAUCCCCAGGAUAAACAGGAAUACUACACUCUUCCUUAAAUAACAAAAACUGCGGCUGGGCGUGGUGGCUCACACUUGUAAUCCCAGCACUUUGGGAGGCCGAGGUGGGCGGAUCACGAGGUCAGGAGAUGGAGACCAUCUUGGCUAACACGGUGAAACCCCGUCUCUACUAAAAAUACAAAAAAUUACACAGGCGCGGUGGCGGGCGCCUAUAGUCCCAGCUACCCGGGAGGCUGAGGCGGGAGAAUGGCGCGAACCUGGGAGGCGGAGCUUGCAGUGAGCCAAGAUCGCGCCACUGCACUCCAGCCUGGGCGACAGAGCAAAACUUCGUCUC